rnacentral:lncRNA from 1 species
UUUGUUCCUUGCAUCGUAUUGUCUCGAAAAGGCACAUAUACGUUUUGUUGUUCCGCGUGUGCUUCCGAUAUAUGCUACUUAUUGUUAAAACUACCUUCUUGUACUCUAGUGUUCGUGGGAUUGUCUGGACCUUUGCCAGAAAUGGUAAAGGGUAUGUGCUUAGAGCCUGCGAUGCUCUGCCGGCCCCCUCUGACUUCACCUAGAUGUGGGUGGAUGGAGCUCCCAAACGUGGGAGACUUCUGUCUGGUGGUCAUUCAGAAAUGGAUGAAUCACAAUUCUGUUUGAGAUCCCACUACACCUUCUGUAUGUGUGAUAUGAUAUCCAGAGCUUUGGUUAUGUGUUUUUGUACAUGCUUUGGAUAAGAAUGAUAUGAAUGCAACGUCAAAGACGACGUUUGAGCUUCUGUUUGGUAUGUGAUAUUGAUAAGCUCCGAAAUGUUUCAUUCAUUGUUGAUAUGCUUCGAAAUGUUCCAUACGUUGUUGAUAUGCUCCGGAACAUUUCAUAUGCCAUUGAUAAGCUCCGAUAUGUUUCAUUUGUUAUUGUUAUGCUCCAAAACAUUUCAUUCGUUUCUGAUAUGCUCCAAUUACUCUAUGCCCCGUAUGUUAUGAACCAAAUAUGUAUGAUUGAAAGGACAAUAGUGAUUCUGCACCUAAUGAUAUUAUUUCUACGAAUUCGUAUUUUCUGCCUCGUAUUGUGAAACUUUAUCUCUUUGGAAAUUGUCCUAUUUUGAUAUGGAUAUGUUAG